AGAGUUUGAUCCUGGCGUCAGGAUGAACGCUAGCUACAGGCUUAACACAUGCAAGUCGAGGGGCAGCAUAGUCGAAGCUUGCUUUGAUUGAUGGCGACCGGCGCACGGGUGAGUAACGCGUAUCCAACCUUCCCCUUAGUAGAGGAUAGCCCGGCGAAAGUCGGAUUAAUACUCUAUGUUUUCCGAAGAUGGCAUCUGAUUUGGAACAAAGGUUUACCGCUAAGGGAUGGGGAUGCGUCUGAUUAGGUUGUUGGCGGGGUAACGGCCCACCAAGCCCACGAUCAGUAGGGUUCUGAGAGGAAGGUCCCCCACAUUGGAACUGAGACACGGUCCAAACUCCUACGGGAGGCAGCAGUGAGGAAUAUUGGUCAAUGGACGUAAGUCUGAACCAGCCAAGUAGCGUGCAGGAUGACGGCCCUAUGGGUUGUAAACUGCUUUUGUACGGGAAUAAAGUCAGGGACGUGUCCCUGUUUGUAUGUACCGUAAGAAUAAGGACCGGCUAAUUCCGUGCCAGCAGCUGC
rnacentral:rRNA from 1 species